rnacentral:rRNA from 1 species
UACGUGGGGAGCAAGCGUUGUUCGGAUUUACUGGGCGUAAAGGGCGCGUAGGCGGUCAGCACAGGUCAGUUGUGAAAUCUCCGGGCUUAACUCGGAAAGGUCAACUGAUACUGUGCGACUAGAGUGCAGAAGGGGCAACUGGAAUUCUCGGUGUAGCGGUGAAAUGCGUAGAUAUCGAGAGGAACACCUGCGGCGAAGGCGGGUUGCUGGGCUGACACUGACGCUGAUGCGCGAAAGCCAGGGGAGCGAACGGG